AGCGAACGCUGGCGGCAGGCCUAACACAUGCAAGUCGAACGAUCCUUCGGGAUAGUGGCGGACGGGUGAGUAACACGUGGGAACGUACCUUUUGGUUCGGAAUAACGCAGAGAAAUUUGCGCUAAUACCGAAUGUGCCCUUCGGGGGAAAGAUUUAUCGCCAUUAGAGCGGCCCGCGUUAGAUUAGCUAGUUGGUGGGGUAAAGGCCCACCAAGGCUACGAUCUAUAGCUGGUCUGAGAGGAUGAUCAGCCACACUGGGACUGAGACACGGCCCAGACUCCUACGGGAGGCAGCAGUGGGGAAUCUUGCGCAAUGGGCGAAAGCCUGACGCAGCCAUGCCGCGUGAAUGAUGAAGGUCUUAGGAUUGUAAAAUUCUUUCAGUAGGGACGAUAAUGACGGUACCUACAGAAGAAGCCCCGGCUAACUUCGUGCCAGCCGCCGCCGUAA
rnacentral:rRNA from 1 species